AGGCCCAUAGUGUUAAUGGUUAGCACGUUGGUCUCCAAAACCAAAAGUCCGAGUUCGAAUCCUGGUGGGCCUGCCA
rnacentral:tRNA from 1 species